GAUGAACGCUGGCGGCGUGCUUAACACAUGCAAGUCGAGGGGUAACAAGAGGAAAGCUUGCUUUUCUUGUUGACGACCGGCGCACGGGUGAGUAACGCGUAUCCAACCUGCCUAUAACUGGGGAAUAACCUUGCGAAAGUAAGACUAAUACCCUAUGAUUUCCUUUGAUGGCAUCAGAUUAGGAAUAAAGAUUUAUCGGUUAUAGAUGGGGAUGCGUCUGAUUAGCUUGUUGGCGGGGUAACGGCCCACCAAGGCAACGAUCAGUAGGGGUUCUGAGAGGAAGGUCCCCCACAUUGGAACUGAGACACGGUCCAAACUCCUACGGGAGGCAGCAGUGAGGAAUAUUGGUCAAUGGGCGGAAGCCUGAACCAGCCAAGUAGCGUGCAGGAUGACGGCCCUAUGGGUUGUAAACUGCUUUUAUACAGGAAUAAAGUUAGCCACGUGUGGUUAUUUGUAGGUACUGUAUGAAUAAGGACCGGCUAAUUCCGUGCCAGCCGCCGCCGUAA
rnacentral:rRNA from 1 species